CAGAUUCUCACUAAUCGUGGAAGCACACUCAGCCUUUAUUUUCAUCUUCGCAAAGCUCAACCUCUUCAUCUUCUAAAACUUCUUCAUUCAUUUGUUGAAGGUGUAUUGUGCAUGAUUAAAAAAGAUUGCCUCUUCCUUUAAGGAUCUUUCCCCUUUUACAUGGUGUGUACAGUUUUUUGUAUGAUGGACUGGAGAUGCAAUUUUUUCUCUUUCUUCAACAACUUGUAACUAUCAGAAGAUGCAAGCUCUGAUGGGACGUUCGAAAUCAUCUUCUUUGAUUUCGCACCCGAAUAUAAAUUUGGUUACAUUCAUUUUGUUUUUAUCACUUUAACUAUUUAUUUAUUUUUUGGUAGGUUUAAAAAAAACAAAACUUUUAAUCUUUUAAUGUUCUAGUUGUCUUCCCGAAAAACUCUUAAUGGCAAGAUUCUCGUAUUGUUGCUAGCGUCCUUUAGUUCGCGUUUCUUAUAUUUGUAUUUUUUUUUAAUUAUUGUCAUUUGGCUGAAUGUUUCGAUGAUUUCAUUUAUAUUCUACUAAGGAAUUUUAAUGUAAUAUACGAUCUUCAA